CGGGAACAGCUCAAAUUUGAAAUCUGACCUUCACGGGUCCGAGUUGUAAUUUGUAGAGGAUGUUUCGGAUAGGCUUUGGUUUAAGUUUCUUGGAACAGAACGUCAUAGAGGGUGAGAGUC
rnacentral:rRNA from 1 species